rnacentral:Y_RNA from 1 species
AUCAGGCUCCAGUGCAGUGGUGUUUACAACUAAUUAAUCACAACCAGUUACAGAUUUAUUUGACCUAUUUCCGCUCUGACUGCUUCAUUUGACUAGAUUUGA